rnacentral:siRNA from 1 species
ACUCCUAUCUAAAACACUGGGCUG